CGCCUCUGAGGUCAUUGGACAUAACAUGACAUAGUUUUAUCUUACCGAGAACAUUAUCUAAUUAGAUAAAACAUUAUAGAAGAUAUAUACAAAUAAGAUUAGAAAGAAUAUCUUGUUAUCCAAUUCGUCCAUGCUAGUAACUUAAGUAUUGCCUAUGUAGUUUUUUAUCAUUGAAUUUCUAUUACUAUAUGCUUCAUCUUGGG
rnacentral:lncRNA from 1 species